rnacentral:tRNA from 13 species
CAUCGUGGUCGGAGGCUCCGGACUUCAAAUCUGAA